rnacentral:rRNA from 1 species
GAACGAAGUCUUCGGACUUAGUGGCGCACGGGUGCGUAACGCGUGGGAAUCUGCCCUUGGGUACGGAAUAACUCAGAGAAAUUUGUGCUAAUACCGUAUAAUGUCUUCGGACCAAAGAUUUAUCGCCCAAGGAUGAGCCCGCGUAAGAUUAGCUAGUUGGUGAGGUAAGAGCUCACCAAGGCGACGAUCUUUAGCUGGUCUGAGAGGAUGAUCAGCCACACUGGGACUGAGACACGGCCCAGACUCCUACGGGAGGCAGCAGUGGGGAAUAUUGGACAAUGGGCGAAAGCCUGAUCCAGCAAUGCCGCGUGAGUGAUGAAGGCCUUAGGGUUGUAAAGCUCUUUUACCCGGGAUGAUAAUGACAGUACCGGGAGAAUAAGCUCCG